rnacentral:rRNA from 1 species
CAGUCGCCACGGGAAUACGGAGGGUGCGAGCGUUAAUCGGAAUAACUGGGCGUAAAGGGCACGCAGGCGGUUAUUUAAGUGAGGUGUGAAAGCCCCGGGCUUAACCUGGGAAUUGCAUUUCAGACUGGGUAACUAGAGUACUUUAGGGAGGGGUAGAAUUCCACGUGUAGCGGUGAAAUGCGUAGAGAUGUGGAGGAAUACCGAAGGCGAAGGCAGCCCCUUGGGAAUCUACUGACGCUCAUGUGCGAAAGCGUGGGGAGCAAACAGGAUUAGAUACCCGCGUAGUCCCUGUCUCUUAUAA